AGUUGCAGGGUAUAGACCCGAAACCCGGUGAUCUAGCCAUGGGCAGGUUGAAGGUUGGGUAACACUAACUGGAGGACCGAACCGACUAAUGUUGAAAAAUUAGCGGAUGACUUGUGGCUGGGGGUGAAAGGCCAAUCAAACCGGGAGAUAGCUGGUUCUCCCCGAAAGCUAUUUAGGUAGCGCCUCGUGAAUUCAUCUCCGGGGGUAGAGCACUGUUUCGGCAAGGGGGUCAUCCCGACUUACCAACCCGAUGCAAACUGCGAAUACCGGAGAAUGUUAUCACGGGAGACACACGGCGGGUGCUAACGUCCGUCGUGAAGAGGGAAACAACCCAGACCGCCAGCUAAGGUCCCAAAGUCAUGGUUAAGUGGGAAACGAUGUGGGAAGGCCCAGACAGCCAGGAUGUUGGCUUAGAAGCAGCCAUCAUUUAAAGAAAGCGUAAUAGCUCACUGGUCGAGUCGGCCUGCGCGGAAGAUGUAACGGGGCUAAACCAUGCACCGAAGCUGCGGCAGCGACGCUGAUGCGUUGUUGGGUAGGGGAGCGUUCUGUAAGCCUGCGAAGGUGUGCUGUGAGGCAUGCUGGAGGUAUCAGAAGUGCGAAUGCUGACAUAAGUAACGAUAAAGCGGGUGAAAAGCCCGCUCGCCGGAAGACCAAGGGUUCCUGUCCAACGUUAAUCGGGGCAGGGUGAGUCGACCCCUAAGGCGAGGCCGAAAGGCGUAGUCGAUGGGAAACAGGUUAAUAUUCCUGUACUUGGUGUUACUGCGAAGGGGGGACGGAGAAGGCUAUGUUGGCCGGGCGACGGUUGUCCCGGUUUAAGCGUGUAGGCUGGUUUUCCAGGCAAAUCCGGAAAAUCAAGGCUGAGGCGUGAUGACGAGGCACUACGGUGCUGAAGCAACAAAUGCCCUGCUUCCAGGAAAAGCCUCUAAGCAUCAGGUAACAUCAAAUCGUACCCCAAACCGACACAGGUGGUCAGGUAGAGAAUACCAAGGCGCUUGAGAGAACUCGGGUGAAGGAACUAGGCAAAAUGGUGCCGUAACUUCGGGAGAAGGCACGCUGAUAUGUAGGUGAAGUCCCUUGCGGAUGGAGCUGAAAUCAGUCGAAGAUACCAGCUGGCUGCAACUGUUUAUUAAAAACACAGCACUGUGCAAACACGAAAGUGGACGUAUACGGUGUGACGCCUGCCCGGUGCCGGAAGGUUAAUUGAUGGGGUCAGCGCAAGCGAAGCUCUUGAUCGAAGCCCCGGUAAACGGCGGCCGUAACUAUAACGGUCCUAAGGUAGCGAAAUUCCUUGUCGGGUAAGUUCCGACCUGCACGAAUGGCGUAAUGAUGGCCAGGCUGUCUCCACCCGAGACUCAGUGAAAUUGAACUCGCUGUGAAGAUGCAGUGUACCCGCGGCAAGACGGAAAGACCCCGUGAACCUUUACUAUAGCUUGACACUGAACAUUGAGCCUUGAUGUGUAGGAUAGGUGGGAGGCUUGGAAGUGUGGACGCCAGUCUGCAUGGAGCCGACCUUGAAAUACCACCCUUUAAUGUUUGAUGUUCUAACGUUGACCCGUGAUCCGGGUUGCGGACAGUGUCUGGUGGGUAGUUUGACUGGGGCGGUCUCCUCCUAAAGAGUAACGGAGGAGCACGAAGGUUGGCUAAUCCUGGUCGGACAUCAGGAGGUUAGUGCAAUGGCAUAAGCCAGCUUGACUGCGAGCGUGACGGCGCGAGCAGGUGCGAAAGCAGGUCAUAGUGAUCCGGUGGUUCUGAAUGGAAGGGCCAUCGCUCAACGGAUAAAAGGUACUCCGGGGAUAACAGGCUGAUACCGCCCAAGAGUUCAUAUCGACGGCGGUGUUUGGCACCUCGAUGUCGGCUCAUCACAUCCUGGGGCUGAAGUAGGUCCCAAGGGUAUGGCUGUUCGCCAUUUAAAGUGGUACGCGAGCUGGGUUUAGAACGUCGUGAGACAGUUCGGUCCCUAUCUGCCGUGGGCGCUGGAGAACUGAGGGGGGCUGCUCCUAGUACGAGAGGACCGGAGUGGACGCAUCACUGGUGUUCGGGUUGUCAUGCCAAUGGCACUGCCCGGUAGCUAAAUGCGGAAGAGAUAAGUGCUGAAAGCAUCUAAGCACGAAACUUGCCCCGAGAUGAGUUCUCCCUGACUCCUUGAGAGUCCUGAAGGAACGUUGAAGACGACGACGUUGAUAGGCCGGGUGUGUAAGCGCAGCGAUGCGUUGAGCUAACCGGUACUAAUGAACCGUGAGGCUUAACCUU
rnacentral:rRNA from 1 species